GAUGAACGCUGGCGGCGUGCCUAAUACAUGCAAGUCGAGCGAACAGACGAGGAGCUUGCUCCUCUGACGUUAGCGGCGGACGGGUGAGUAACACGUGGAUAACCUACCUAUAAGACUGGGAUAACUUCGGGAAACCGGAGCUAAUACCGGAUAAUAUAUUGAACCGCAUGGUUCAAUAGUGAAAGACGGUUUUGCUGUCACUUAUAGAUGGAUCCGCGCCGCAUUAGCUAGUUGGUAAGGUAACGGCUUACCAAGGCAACGAUGCGUAGCCGACCUGAGAGGGUGAUCGGCCACACGGGAACUGAGACACGGUCCAGACUCCUACGGGAGGCAGCAGUAGGGAAUCUUCCGAAAUGGGCGAAAGCCUGACGGAGCAACGCCGGGUGAGUGAUGAAGGUCUUCGGAUCGUAAAACUCUGUUAUUAGGGAAGAACAAAUGUGUAAGUAACUAUGCACGUCUUGACGGUACCUAAUCAGAAAGCCACGGCUAACUACGUG
rnacentral:rRNA from 1 species